AAUCAUUUUAUCCUAUAACCAAAGCUUUUUAUCAAGCAAGUCAUAAUCACAGUGACACAAAGAAGAAAAUGUUCACAAAAUGCUCACUAAGGAGAUAUCACUGGGCUCUGGGUUGAAAUUGCUUCCUGUGCAUCAGUUGUAUACAUUUUAUAUACAUUUUAAAAGCACCCAGUCUGUGAGAUUGUGUAUGGAUGUGUACAUAUAUAAUAAAAAUACAUAUAUAAUAAAAAUGUGGAUGGGAAGUAUACCAGUCAAAGGGCCAGCCAGAAGAAAAGAAACUAUGCUAAGAUUUUUGAAAAUUGCAUGUUUUAUUCAAAUACGUGGUUAUGAUAGGUGAUCAGAUACACGUGAUGGAAGAGCUGGGCUAUUGAAAGGAGAUGAGGCAACUAGUUUAGCAGCAGCAGGAAGAGAUCCCUUCUCCUAAGGAAGAAGGACAAAGAAAGAGUGCUGCUUCCUCAUCCCAGAAGCUUUGUCUGGUAGGAGAUAGAAUCAAGGUGGAGGCUGCCUGGAAAAAGUUGAGCCCACAGAGAAACGUGUCUUCUACUGGAGAUGCCGCUCAAGGUCAAUAGACAGGGAGAGAGGGAGAGAGAAACGCCUGGUCUUCCCUUCUCCAGCCCGUCAAGCUCCUAACUGUACCUCUCACUGAGCAAACCCAGAGGAAUUCCUAACAUAGCAAGGAAGCUUGGGAAUGUAGGUGUACCCCCCAACCCCAAACAGAGGAUGAGGGGACUCACCAAUUUAGGAUAAGCAUUUGCCUCUGGAGAGGGGGGUCAGUGGAAUGGGGAUGGGGAGAGGCACAAAGUGGUCCUCGACUAUAUUGGUAACCCCUAAUUUCUUUAAUUUUUUUUUAAAGGUUUGGAGCCAAUAUGGCAAAAUGUUAGCAUUCGCUCUUUGUUUUUUGUUUUGAGACAGAGUCUCUCUCUCUCACCCAGGCUGGUGUGCAGUGGUGCAAUCUUGGCUCACUGCAACCUCCACCUCCCAGGUUCAAGCGACCCUCCCACCUCAGCCUUCGGAGUAGCUGGGACUACAGGUGCGCACCACUACACUCGGCCAGCACUUGUUAACAUUAUAAGGAAAUGCCACACCUCUACUUCCCAAGAAAAUGCCGCACCUCUCUCAAUGAACACUAGCAUCUUUGUGGAGUUUGCAGGCUCUGCCAUUGACUCUUUGGCACAAUGGUGUUGAAGGCAAGCUGUGAGAGCAAGACAGGGAAUGAGUGGAGACAGGCAAGAAGGAAAGGUGGCAGGAAAAGGCUCAGGAGAAAGAGGAUGACCAUCGAUCGCUGUGAGCUACCCCAGAGCCUGCCUCCCUUUGAAACUUGGUUCAGUCACUUACUACCUGGGUGGCCUUGAGCAAGUUCCUCCUCCCUCCCCUCUACCUCCAUUUCCUCUUCCAGCAAAUGUGAAUAAUAAGAUGUUAAGAAUACCUACCCCAAAGGGAUUAUUCUGAGGAUUCAAUGACUUCACCCACAGGAAAACACUUCAAAUUGUGUUGGCACAUAGUACAGUCUCAAUACAUGUUGGUUAUGAUUAUUAUUUUUUUUAUUGAUCUUUACAUCCUCAGUGUUGGC
rnacentral:lncRNA from 10 species